GAGGGAGGGAGACUGACCAUCACUGUCCUCGUCAAACUGCUGGCCAGCUUCCACAGCUCCAAACACAGCUGCAGGUGUUUUGGGCAGGAGUGUUUGGGGAGGAGUAUUUGGAGCUGCAGGUGUUUUGGGCAGGAGUAUUUGGAGCUGCAGGUGUUUUGGGCAGGAGUGUUUGGGGAGGAGUAUUUGGAGCUGCAGGUGUUUUGGGGAGGAGUAUUUGGAGCUGCAGGUGUUUUGGGGAGGAGUAUUUGGAGCUGCAGGUGUUUUGGGGAGGAGUAUUUGGAGCUGCAGGUGUUUUGGGGAGGAGUAUUUGGAGCUGCAGGUGUUUUGGGGAGGAGUAUUUGGAGCUGCAGGUGUUUUGGGGAGGAGUAUUUGGAGCUGCAGGUGUUUUGGGGAGGAGUAUUUGGAGCUGCCGGUGUUUUGGCGAGGAGUGUUUGGGGAGGAGUAUUUGGAGCUGCCGGUGUUUUGGCGAGGAGUGUUUGGGGAGGAGUAUUUGGAGCUGCAGGUGUUUUGGGGAGGAGUAUUUGGAGCUGCAGGUGUUUUGGGGAGGAGUAUUUGGAGCUGCAGGUGUUUUGGGGAGGAGUAUUUGGAGCUGCCGGUGUUUUGGUGAGGAGUGUUUGGGGAGGAGUAUUUGGAGCUGCAGGUGUUUUGGGGAGGAGUAUUUGGAGCUGCAGGUGUUUUGGGGAGGAGUAUUUGGAGCUGCAGGUGUUUUGGGGAGGAGUAUUUGGAGCUGCAGGUGUUUUGGGGAGGAGUAUUUGGAGCUGCAGGUGUUUUGGGGAGGAGUAUUUGGAGCUGCAGGUGUUUUGGGGAGGAGUAUUUGGAGCUGCAGGUGUUUUGGGGAGGAGUGUUUGGGGAGGAGUAUUUGGAGCUGCAGGUGUUUUGGGGAGGAGUAUUUGGAGCUGCAGGUGUUUUGGGGCGGAGUGUUUGGGGAGGAGUAUUUGGAGCUGCAGGUGUUUUGGGGCGGAGUGUUUGGAGCUGCAGGUGUUCUGGGGAGCUGCUCCUCAGUUCCAGUUGCCUUCUUCAGACAUAUGAAAUGUAGACUAUAUAGGACAAAGUGUGUUUUCAUUAGGAAGUGCUGCAACAUCUACAAACUGCAGCUUAUUGCCAACGGAAAAGAAAACUUUAUGCAGCAUCAGGUCCCUAGAUUGCACCAUGUGGAAGUGUUACUGGCAGGGUGUAGGGCUUAAAACAAAACACAUCCCUUUCUCUAGCAUCCUGCUUUGCUGUACAUAUUCCUGCAACAUGUAUCAACAUAAUGUGACUGUUUUGACAUUUUUUAUUACGGCAACAUAUGCCUGGUACUCAGUCUUCCCAUCAAAAUGGUUCCCGACUCCUCUCAAAGUUCAGCAUUUUGAUUGGUUCACUUGUCAGUCAUCUUUGCCAGCUCAGUAACACAAAGUACAGUGAAAGUACCUAACAAAGACUAAAUGUUUUUACAUAACAUUGUACUGUACUUGAGUAAUUGCAGUGAGAAACAUCAUAAAGGAAGCAGAUUAAUCCCUCGCUCUGCUUCUGUAAACACUCAAACACUGGAUUUAUGAAGCAAGGUGGUUUAAAAAAUGACCACACGUGAUGUGCAGUUGGAAUUGCUGUCCGCUAUGCAACUGUGACAUUGUUUUGAGGUUCUCCUCUUACUUAUUCAGUUGCAAAGGGAGCAGAAAAUGCAGUUACACUGUUGAGCAUUUCUAAAACCACCUCGAGACGAGACUUUAACGAGAGCUUUAGUAGCAAGUGAUUUUCAAACUAACUGUGUUAAUUUAAUCAAUCCAUUAAUGCUCCGAAAUUGAGUCGACGAGGUUGUAAAGAACACAUUUCUCAUUAAAAAGCUUAAUUGUCACAGGUCACGUACACCACUUCCUGUCUCAAC